GACGAACGCUGGCGGCGUGCCUAAUACAUGCAAGUAGAACGCUGAAGGAGGAGCUUGCUUCUCUGGAUGAGUUGCGAACGGGUGAGUAACGCGUAGGUAACCUGCCUGGUAGCGGGGGAUAACUAUUGGAAACGAUAGCUAAUACCGCAUAAUAGUAGAUGUUGCAUGACAUUUGCUUAAAAGGUGCAAUUGCAUCACUACCAGAUGGACCUGCGUUGUAUUAGCUAGUUGGUGAGGUAACGGCUCACCAAGGCAACGAUACAUAGCCGACCUGAGAGGGUGAUCGGCCACACUGGGACUGAGACACGGCCCAGACUCCUACGGGAGGCAGCAGUAGGGAAUCUUCGGCAAUAGACGGAAGUCUGACCGAGCAACGCCGCGUGAGUGAAGAAGGUUGUCGGAUCGUAAAGCUCUGUUGUAAGAGAAGAACGAGUGUGAGAGUGGAAAGUUCACACUGUGACGGUAUCUUACCAGAAAGGGACGGCUAACUACGUG
rnacentral:rRNA from 1 species